AUUAGAAUGGCAGAUCAGUGCAUAGGGUUUAAGCUUCUAUUAGGAAAUAUUGAUUAUUUCUUCUAAUA
rnacentral:tRNA from 1 species